GAUACCAGCCAGGUUGUAGUAUCAGGAUACCAGCCAGGUUGUAGUAUCAGGAUACCAGCCAGGUUGUAGUAUCAGGAUACCAGCCAGGUUGUAGUAUCAGGGUACCAGCCAGGUUGUAGUAUCAGGGUACCAGCCAGGUUGUAGUAUCAGGAUACCAGCCAGGUUGUAGUAUCAGGAUACCAGCCAGGUUGUAGUAUCAGGGUACCAGCCAGGUUGUAGUAUAGGGGUACCAGCCAGGUUGUAGUAUCAGGGUACCAGCCAGGUUGUAGUAUCGGGAUACCAGCCAGGUUGUAGUAUCGGGAUACCAGCCAGGUACCUUCCUCUACCCACCCUCCUCCAGGUCCGCGUGACCCCGAGCCACAUUCUCAGCCUCUGAUGACCCGGAAGUGGUCCGUUUCAGUUCCUGUAAAACCAUGAAGUGAUUUUCAUCCCAGUUGCCCAGCAGCUUGUGUGAGGCUGAGAGUCUUUCCCAAGGCUGAGAGUCUUUCCCAAGGCUGAGAGUCUUUCCCAAGGCUGUGAGUCUUUCCCAAGGCUGAGAGUCUUUCCCAAGGCUGAGAGUCUUUCCCAAGGCUGAGAGUCUUUCCCAAGGCUGUGAGUCUUUCCCAAGGCUGAGAGUCUUUCCCAAGGCUGAGAGUCUUUCCCAAGGCUGAGAGUCUUUCCCAAGGCUGAGAGUCUUUCCCAAGGCUGAGAGUCUUUCCCCAGGCUGAGAGUCUUUCCCAAGGCUGAGAGUCUUUCCCAAGGCUGAGAGUCUUUCCCAAGGCUGUGAGUCUUUUCCCAAGGCUUCUGUAAAAGGAACAGCUUUAAAGACAAAAAGACAAAGAAAAAAUACUUGGGUCUUUUUUAGCAUUGUGUGGGAGUGUGUUGUUUCUGAGUUGGUUGGUGUAUCCAUUGGGAGUGUGUGAUGUUUAUGCUCUACAGAAGAGCUUUUCUGUCAGCAGACGUUCUCACUCACCUAACCUUUUAGUUUGUUGUUUUUAAUCCUUUCAAAAUAUUAUCAUAAGAUUCAACUUUAGUUUUAGGUCAUUGUAUAUUUUGUGUGUGUUGUUUUCCUUUGUUUUUAUCACCACCUCUGGGUAACUCGUUCAGCUUCUAUAAAUUAUAUAUCUAUGUUCGUUCUAAGUUCAGAACUUUGUGCUGAUCUGUUUCUUUAUGAGUGGCUAAGACCCGGGCUGCGUCCCAAAAUGGUCAAAAGUUGUGUACUAAGCCUAUAAGGAACAGGGUGCUAAUAGGGUGCCAAUAGGCUGCCAAUAGGGUGCCAACAGGGUGCCCUAUACUGAUCAGACAAUUAACAAUGGAAUUAGCUUUUGUAGCACCACAGUGUGCACACGUUAACAAGCGGGUAUGACACGUGUGUGUUUACCACAAACGUGCGUGUCAGAGUACACACUAUUCUGCGUCAGACAGACGGGGGAGUCUUUUCACAACCGUAAAAUGUCCCACACAAUAUAAACAAAGAUGACAUCAGUGAACGACGUACCAGACGUAGUAAUAUGUUUGAUCAGCAUGCUAUAAUGAUUUACUAUUCAUGCUGACGUUAAACGUGUUACCAGUUCUAAUCUGUCCUCCAGACGGCACAAGGUAGUUGGUUUAUUAUCCGUCUAUGACAGUAACACACACAGUUGAGUAAUUUCACAAAGCAUUAAACAUCAGUCUUGUAAGCUCAGGUCUAUGAACAACUAUAGAUAGAUUUGGUAUAAAUGAGUUGAUACUCUCAAUCAUUUUGAUCUUUAUCUUUGUGUGUUGUGUAUUUGCCAAAACCAUAGCUAGUUAACUUGUUGAUCCCACUUGUUUAGGAAUCUUUGAGUGGGUCCCAAUGAUCUCUCCUUUCUCCCAAAGUGUGCACUUGUUCACUUUUUGUGGGAGGGAUUGGUGAUCGAGUGCGCACUUCAGGAGGAAGGAGAGAUUCCCGGGACGCUCCCUCCGCCUACUCUCACUGUUCUGUCUAUAUGCUGGAGCCGACCCCAGGCCUGCAUGUACUAUCCCAUCACAAGGCUUUUUCAUUAUUUUCCAUGAGUUGUUUGAUUAAAUGAUUUGUUUUGAUUCAAA
ensembl:lncRNA